rnacentral:rRNA from 1 species
CAGCCGCCGCGGUAAUACCGGCGGCCCGAGUGGCGGUCACUAUUAUUGGGCUUAAAGCGUCCGUAGCCGGGUUGGGAAGUCCUCCGGGAAAUCUGGCCGCUUAACGGUCAGAAUGCCGGAGGAUACUCCCAGCCUAGGGAGCGGGGGAGGCCGAGGGGAUUCCCGGGGUAGGGGUGAAAUCCUAUAAUCCCGGGAGGACCACCUGUGGCGAAGGCGCUCGGCUGGAACGCGUCCGACGAUGAGGCACGAAGGCCAGGGGAGCAAACCGGAUUAGAUACCCGGGUAGUCCUGGCUGUAAACGAUGCGGACUUUGUGUCGGACAAGCUAUGAGCUUGUCCGGUGCCGGAGGGAAACCGUUAAGUCCGCCGCCUGGGGAGUACGGCCGCAAGGCUGAAACUUAAAGGAAUUGGCGGG